UAUUUUCUUCCUUUAGUUAAUGCAUGUUGGGGAAUGAUAGUGGGGUAAUAUGUAUCCUGAUUUGCAAUCACCCCACCUGCUUUGAGAAAAAAUUCAAACGGGGUGUAAGAACAUUCUUUUGGCACAGUCAGGUCUGUAUAUCUGUUAGUCUCUUACGUACACAGUUUCUCCAGACUCCUUUCCCUUUAGAAUAAGAUAAAUUAGGUUAUUAUAAGAAUGUUAUUAUUGCGGUAAAAAAGAUGUACUAGUAACAAAGUUUUUUCUUAACAGGACAUAAAUGAUGGCGGAGAGAUCAAUAAACAUCUUAAUGUGAUUCAAAUAUGGUUGAGACUUGAGACCCAAAAUCAACAUCAGUCACAUCACCACAAGCAUCCUUAAUUAGCAUGUUCAGCGUGAGAAAUUACUUGAGUUGAAUUCAUACAAUCUACUGCACGUUAUGCUUGUAGAAGUGAUGCAUAGCACCUGUCUCAAAAAUAAUUAAUGUAAUUAUAAGCAAUAAAUAUAUCCCAAUUUGAGAGGAAACAUUAAUGAGGGAAACAAUAUACAUAUAUAUACACACACAUAUGUAUGUAUAUAUGUAUGUAAAGUCUGGUUGAAAUGAGAAAUUAAGGACAAGGUCAUGAGAAAUUAAUGCACCACACAUUAUACUGUUAUAAUUAUAUAAAUGCACCCAUCUAUGCAUGUGUGCAAGCAUUUUUUUUUUUUUUUUUGGGACAAGUUUAAGGCACAUCAACUCUGACCCAAAAGAAAGGGAAAAAAGGGAUUCAAAUGGUGGUACCCAAGAGUUUGUUUGAGGGCAGGCAGAACAAGGUCAUGAUCAGCAUCGGUACACCAAAGCUUAGAAGCGACAAACAAUUCAUCCCUGCUCUUAAUUAAUCCAAUCUCCAAUGCUUUAGCCACAGCUAUGCCAAGAGCUUCCUCAGUGCCAUAACAUGCCGCUGUAUCAAAUGCCUGUAUCCAAUCUCCAUUGCAUCAAUAAAAGUUGAUACUAAUUGCUCUGAUGGUGGCAAAGGAUGCGCGGCGCAUCCCAAGCCCACCACUGGCAUUUUGUGGCCUGAGUUUAACACUACUGUUUCUGGGAUUUUUUGUUCACCCUUUUCCAUCGUCUCUGGCAUAAUUGUAUUAAUGGAGAAAAAUGCAAGAAGAAAUUUCUGUCAAAAGGCAGUAGUUAUCUUCAAUUGAUGAAAAGAGGGGUGAGGAGAAGUGGUGAGUGACAUCAUAAAUUCAUUCACACUCACCUUUUUUCUAAUUGUGAUUGGUAUCCACCGGGCAGAGAAGGAAAGAAAAUCAAGAAAAUGACAAACAUGACGUUUCGAGAAAAGGGCAAGAACAAGACGGAAAUAAAGGACCACAACCAAUUGCCUAAAAAAAAAAGAAAACGUAUACCACUAGUAUUAAUUAUCCUCUUUUUUUUUUUUGAAUAUUCCAACCCUUUUCAUUUUCUGUUUUAGUACAUUUUGGAGACUAGGGAAAGAGAUAGGUGCACGCACCUUAAAAAGUUAAUUAGUUAGCUUUCUACGUUAAGGUAUACUUUGAUGUGAAAAAACUUUGCUUUCCGUGCUUAAUUUGGCCCAAAGAAUGAAAAGGAAGCCCCGUUUUGAUUUGUCCAAUUGGCUGUUUAAUCGAGAAUAGCGAGUACACAAAACUUAGCCAAUAAAAUGGAAUUAGUACAUAAGUGCAAUUAUUUUUCUAAAACUUAGGCUUAAUAUUUGAUAAAAAGUGCUCGUAUAUCACUUUUUUUUUAGCUUAGAAGUAAGAAAGUGCUCAUGUAUGUCAUGUAAGUAACUUUGCACCUUAACGCCUGAAUUUGAGAAAAUGACAAAAAAAAUAGAAUUAGGUCUCGUCUGGAUCGCUAUUUUUUGGAGUUUUUGUAGAAAAAUAUACUCAAACGAUUUGAUAAAUGUGAGAUAAAAAGGAGAUUGAAAAAUGUUAUCAUUUGAAAAUUACACUUUAAAGAGUUGAAUGGCCUUUUCAGAUUUUUUUUUAAAAAAAAGUUUAAUGACCAAACCAUGCAAUUUAAAAUACUCAGUGAUCUUUUGUGCUAUUUACUCUCUACAUAAUCAUUUUAUUUCUUUUUCCUGUUGAUUAUUUAUUUGUUUUUAAAUCUUUAUAUAUGAUAUAUUAAACAAUCCGACAAUUGACAACUGAUAAUCAAACCUACUAUGGUGUUUUGGUAAAAGAUAAGUCACUACGAUGUUGGGUUCGGCUGCUUCCCUAUUUGAUUUGAGAAUACCCCAACAGGAUUGGAAUAAUGUUGAUCAUCAUGGUAGAGUUGAAGUUCACAUUGUCCAGAAAUUCAGAUGUCGCCAUCCCAAAAUUCCUCCAAAGAUUUGUAUGGCCCUGUUGGAUCAACAAGCGCUUCCGUUCCAGGGGCUCUACGCUGAGGAAUCUGCAGAAUUUGAUCCAUUUCUUCCUUGGUGAGUUCCCAAUCAAAUACUUGGAGGUUCUGUUUCAUCCUUUCCUUGCUGAAGCUCUUCACAAUGACGCUUGCUCCUUGCAGAUAUACCCAUCUCAAUGCCACCUGCGUUUGGAUUGAUCAUUUUUUUAAAAACAAGAUUUUCAUAAAAAAAUGCUACAAUAAUAUAUAAUAAAAAUAACCACAAAAAUACUAAAAACAACCUCAAAAACAACCUAAAAAACAAUAAAAGUUUUUCGCCUAUAUUGUUACAAUAAAAUAUUUCAAGAACACCCUAAAAAACAGUUAAUUCAAACGGAAAUUAUAAUUGUUUAAUCUCUGUCUGCGCGUGUGUGUGUGUGUGUGUGUUUUUCAAUUUUCUUGAAAGCUAUAUGCACUAAAAAAAAAUUUUAACUUCGAAUAUGUCAUAAUAAUUCAGGACCUCUGCCACGGUCUUGUUUCUUGAGUCAGCAAUAUUUUUGAUGAUUGGAUUCUCCAUGACUGCAUUGCUACCCCAAGAAGUACCAUAACCUCCAAGAGGAGACCAAGCGAUUAUGUGAAUUCCUUUCUCUUUGGCAAAUGGUACCAAUUUUCGCUGCUGCCAACCAACAUUCAUCUCCACCUGAAAAUUUUUCAUUCGAAAAUUCUAUCAUGCAUUCCACUAUAGUGGCCAAUGUUGGCGAGGUUAAUUUCAAAGAAAGUAAAAGAGAAAAAGUCUCAAACGGGCUGCUUGCUAAUUCCACUAUCAAAUUACAUGUCUAUUGUCCCCAAACCCCAGUUAACUGGUAAACUAUGAAAUUUCUGGUUUUACUCUCAAGAUUUGCAGUUUACCUAGAACCCCAUUUACCCAAUUCCAAAAAAAAAAAGAGAGAGAGAGAAAUCACCUGAUUAACUGCUGGAAGGAUGGUAGCACUUUCUUGGAGUUUGGAGAUUUUUUCACAGGUGAAGUUGCUCAAACCUAUAGACUUUGUCAAGCCCAAUUUGCUGCAUUCUUCCAUGGCCUUCCACGUUCCAUGCAUGUCAAAAGGGAGAAUUGCAUCUUUGGUGAAAUUGAGCAUCUCAGUACCCUGCUUUAGCCUCAGAGGCCAGUGAAUCAAAUAAAGAUCCAAAUACUCUAGCCCCAACUUCCUAGCAAAGAAGAAUUAUGACAAGAAAGAGUAAGUCAAUCAUGUAUCAGAAAACAAAAUUUCUUGGUGGAUGAAUCAAAGAAACAAAUAAUUUCUCCUGAUCAUAUUCCAUGCCAUUGUCAGUGAGAACAAUGAAAAUGAUCAAUUUUUUUUCUUUGAAUGCAAGGCCUUAUAGUCAAGUGAUUUUGAUUUUAGUGACAGGUACGGGCCAUAUGAACAGAACUCAAAAUAUCACAUAUGAGUUUUAGUGUCGUACAAGGGUGUUCAUGUUCAUUUAAAAUCCUUUCCAAAAGAGUUCAACAGUUCAGUAAUGGUCGCUGGUGUAUCCCAAAUUCAUUAAAAAUGGAGUUCAACUACCAAAAAUUCGCUGUUUGGAUUGUAUUUUCCAUGGAUUUUUCGUUGGAAAAUUACUGUAGCGAUUUGAUGUAUGUGAGGUAAAAGGUGAUAGGGAAAUGUGUUCACGGAAAACAAGACCAUUUUUUUGGUGAAAAAUGGCUAUCCAAACAAGCCUAAAUUUCUAGCGAUUGUCUGAUUAAAUAGUCAAGAUGAUGCGAUGAUGCAAGGGUUAAUUGCACUUCACACAUUCAACUAUACUCCAAUUUUUACUUUGGUCAUUCAACUUUAGAGUACAACACUUUAAUCCCUAAAAUAGAAAAUUUGUCCUACUUUAAUCUCUGAUGUAUAAAAUUUGUCACAUUUAAAUCUUCAAAGUAUAAAUUUGUUUCACUUUAGUCCUUAAAGCACAAAAUUUAUCCUAGUCUCACUUUCACUGAAGAUUUUACUUAAGUGGGACAAAUUUUAUCCCUUAAAUGUCCCAUUUUGAAGUUUAGGACCAAAAUUAGAAUGUAAAUGUAUUUGAAGGGUGCCAAGUGAAAUUAACCUAUAAUACAAGCAUCCUAGUUUGUAGUCUGUCCAGCAAGACGACGGACAGACAUGAUGGCGGGGAUAUCAAGAAGACUUUGAGAUAUUUCAUAUCACCACAAAAAUCCAUAAUUUUUUUUUUUACAGAACAAAAAUUCAUAAUUAGUAUGAUUAGCGUGAAAAAUCAAUUGGCUUCUUCAUCCCCAUCCUUAUUCCCCCCUUCCUCUCCAAACAUUCCUCUCGACUAAACGUUGUACUUCUAUCCAUCCAUGGAAAGUGAUAAUCUCUAUUUCAGAUACUCUUAAUGGAGUUACAACCAAUGAAAAAGUCCAAAUUUGGGGAAAAACAAUGUCGGAAAACUAUGUGCUACUCCCAAAAGAAUCAAAGAGUUAAAUAUAAAAAUACCUGUUCUAAUCAAGAACCAGGCAGGUCUUCUUCAGUAAUAAGACUCAUGACCAAGGCACCAGAAAUUUCAUGGUAUAGAAUAUAUUAACAUUCUCAUGUCUAUGCAUGAAUAUUCUUAUUCAGGUAUUAGAUAAGGGAAAAAAUUAGAAGAAUUAGGGAAAAAAAAAAAGAGAUUCAUAUGGUGAUGAGGAAAGUACCCAAGAGUUUGUUUGAGGGCGGGCAGAACAAGGUCAUGAUCAGCAUCAGUACACCAAAGUUUAGAAGUGAUGAACAAUUCAUCCCUGCUCUUAAUUAAUCCAAUCUCUAGUGCUUUAGCCACAGCUUUACC
rnacentral:lncRNA from 1 species